GCCCUUUUUCUGUUGUACUACUGGCCAAUCAGAAGAGCAGUGCAAUAUUAAAAGGGCAU
ensembl:miRNA mir130c-1 microRNA 130c-1